AGCGAACGCUGGCGGCAGGCUUAACACAUGCAAGUCGAGCGGGCCCUUCGGGGUCAGCGGCGGACGGGUGAGUAACGCGGGGGAACGUGCCCUCUGGUUCGGAACAACUCAGGUUAACUUGAGCUAAUACCGGUUACGCUCUUUUGGGGAAAGGGCUACUGCCGGAUGAUCGGGCCGGGUCUGUUUAGGCGGUUGGGGGUGUAACGGCCUGUCAAGGCGACGUUCGGGGGCUGGUCUGGUAGGAGGAUCCGCCACAAUGGCGCUGCGACACGGCCCACACUCCUACGCAGGAGAGCAGUAGAGAAUAUUAGGGGAUGGAGGCUAACCUAGUCCAGCCGUGCGGCGUGAGUGAUGAAGGCCUUAGGGUUGUGAAGCUGUUUUAGCCGGGACGUUAGUGACGGUACCGGGGGAAUAAGCCCCGGCUAACUUCGUG
rnacentral:rRNA from 1 species